CCUUGUUGGAGAGAAAAAUGAGAGGAUGUAUGAAAGUGAGGGAGGAAGCAAAGCAGCGAAAGAGGGAAGGCAUGAAGGAAGAAAAUUUGGGAGAUAAAAGGGGAUGGGAAAAGAGGAGUGGCCUAGUUUUGUCAUUAAAGAGCUCAGCAGCUCUGUCAACCCAGUUCCACCGGUCAACAGGGGAUCGGUCCGUCACACCCACAUGCACCCAGUGAUGGAAAGAACCAGCUGAGGAGGAACAGAGGGGAAAGUCGAGAGGGGUACAGAAGGAGGAGGCAGUUGCUAGGAGACAACAUCCUGUGAGGUUAAUCAUGUGACUGGAGAAGAAUGCAGUAUCACUGAUGAAGAGAGGCUUUUUUUAUCACAAGAGAAAGGCAUACAUGUGCUGGAACAAUAAACCAUUAAUAUAAUAUAUUCUCUAUAUAAUUUACUCCAUAAUGCAUUUCAGUUAAAACAUGCUAGGUUAAACUUAAGGUUGAAUUAAAUCUGUCACAAUUUUAUACACAAUUACAUAACAUCUACAUUGGUGAUUAAUAUGAUGUUUGCUUCAGAGAAAAAAAGUGAGCUGUGUUUUAUUUCCUAGACGCCUGUUGGCUUGCUAUCUUCAGUCUCUCUCAUUGAUCAAGAAUGCAGCGAAUGUUCACCUUGAGAUCUUUAUCUAAUCAAUGAAACACUGUAGGCUGUUUUUCCCGCCAUUGAUUGCUGUAUUUUUCAUGAAUCUAAACAGUGACAGAUGCACGCUACACUACAAAUGUGAUUUAAGGCUCAAUAAAACUGUAAA